rnacentral:SRP_RNA from 1 species
UCGUGUUUUUUAUUUUCAGGGAAACUGCCAUGGCUGCCCUUUGUAAGUGGCGUUGACGGGUUGGUCUUGCGCAAUGGAUGUCCGCGAACCGUGUCAGGUUGGGAACAAAGCAGCACUAAGCAGAAUUUUCCAUGUGCCGCAAGGGUGCCGGCCCAGAGCCGGCUGCAUUGGUAACGCAUGGCAGUUUCCCCGAAGGUAAAAACACGA